CCGCUCCGCCUCUCUCCAGGAACCGCUGCAUGGGACAGAGGCCACCCGCCAGCCUGCCUUGCCCUGGCCGGGCAACUAAAGAGAAUCUCGGCGCUCACCAUCGCAACUCUCUCCUCAGCCAUCUUGGCUCAGCCCACCACUGCGCGACCGGAAGUCGGCGGUUUCCCAGACAAGGAGGCAAGCGGAAGUUGUAGGACUGUGGAGGACGCUGAGGAGCCGGGGAAGGAAGUAAAUAGCCGAGUGACCUAAGGAAUCGGGGGAGAGUUAGGGUCUGCUCCACAGAAGGCUUACCUCUGAAAGAGUAGGGGAGGGAAUGCGCAGGCACUCGCUGCCUUUAUCCCGAGAAGCCCCUAACCCCUCUCGUCGUGGUCUGUACAUGGUGUGUACCUCCGGCCGCGCUGGCUGGAUAGGCCAGCCACCUGGGAUGUCAGCCUGUUUCUCCCGCCACCUGGCCGUGCCCUGACUCUAAUCUGCAUUUAAUUCAGUCCUCCUUCCGGGACCCUCGGGCGGAGAAUCUCAUUCUUGCCUUUGAAUUUGCAAACACGCUCCCGGUGGGCUCCGUUUGAGCAGCAGUCUUUUGAUCGGAAAUAUUUAAAAGUUAGGAGAUUUCGCAAGAAAUCGGCCAUGGGAUAAAGAGACGACAGUCGGCCUGCGUUUCUGCAAGACAGUGAAAUCGAUCUGAAUGGCGGCUGCGACUGUAAAUAAACAUUUCUUGGCCUUUUUACCACAGUCUUCCCUUCCUAGCAUACUUCAGGCGUUUUCCAGUGCCUGUCUGGCCCCAGGUGCGGUGAAUUAAAUGUUUAGUGUUUCUAAACCA